rnacentral:rRNA from 1 species
AACGAACGCUGGUGGCGUGCUUAACACAUGCAAGUCGAACGAGAAAGUUUCCUUCGGGAAAUUAGUAAAGUGGCGCAAGGGUGAGUAGCACGUGAAUAAUCUGCCCUCGAGAUCGGGAUAACAUGGUGAAAACUAUGCUAAUACCGUAUAAGACCACAUUUCAUAAGAAAUGCGGGAAAAGGAGUCUCAAUCUUCACUCGAGGAUGAGUUCGCGGAACAUUAGCUUGUUGGUGAGAUAAAAGCUCACCAAGGCUACGAUGUUUAGCCGGCCUGAGAGGGUGAACGGCCACACUGGAACUGAGACACGGCCCAGACUCCUACGGGAGGCAGCAGUAGGGAAUCUUGCACAAUGGGGGAAACCCUGAUGCAGCGAUGCCGCGUGAGUGAAG